rnacentral:antisense_RNA from 1 species
AAAUAUUACAAUUCCCGAGAGAUUACCUUUAUUACUCUUUACUCUUUACUAAAUGUCUACUUUCUACCGCAUUACACUCCCCAAAGAGAUAUAAGUUUCCAUCAAAAUAUUACAUAAACAGUUUCUUGUGAAUAGAUCUAAAUGUUAUCUUUUUAUGUUUAUUAAAUCAAGGGCAAAAGCAAGGGGAAUAUGUUUAUAAGGGAAAGGAAAAUAAGUUGGUGAACCUGACAAAGAAAAUGGUUUAUUGAAGACAAAUAUCAUGCCUUCCCAAUGUUCCCAGCAGCUGGGAGGCUUCAGACAAUACUAUAUAAAUGGAUCAUUUUCAGAUUCAUGAGUUGGGUUUCUGUUUAACUUUAUAUUACCAAUGACAACUCUAUGUUUAAAUAAAUGCUAUGAUACUCAUAAAAUACCAUUAAUAAAUGAGACCUUUGGAUUUCC